rnacentral:rRNA from 1 species
UACGUAUGGUGCAAGCGUUAUCCGGAUUUACUGGGUGUAAAGGGGGCGUAGGCGGCGCGUUAAGUCUGAUGUGAAAACCCGAGGCUCAACCACGGGAGUGCAUUGGAAACUGGCGGGCUGGAGUGCCGGAGAGGUAAGCGGAAUUCCUAGUGUAGCGGUGGAAUGCGUAGAUAUUAGGAGGAACACCAGUGGCGAAGGCGGCUUACUGGACGGCAACUGACGCUGAGGCUCGAAAGCGUGGGGAGCAAACAGG